AGAGUGUCUUCCAACUGCAAUUUGAGAGGACUUGUUCAACAAGAUGAUGACUGAGGUACUAUAUCUGGCAGAAGAUGAAGAAGAGAAUCUUAGACCUUAAUCCUAAGCAACUGUUUGUGAGAGAGAGGGAGAAGAUUUCACGCGUAUACGUCUGAUAUGCAGUUCCUGGGAAGACUUCGCAGGCCGAUACCAGUAGCUUUUCAGCUCUUUCCACAGAUCGUACCAUGACUGAGAUGUUCCCUCCCAGGUGUGAAGGACAUCCACGAAGUUUGCAUCGUCGGGGGAGAGGCGCUUGCUAGGGUCCACUCCUUCAAACAUAGGGCCGGCCGGAUCCAAGCCUGGUGUUAGAGACAGUACGCAGGAUGCCAGGGCACCUGGCGCCGCUCCUAUCUGCGGGACUCGAGUCCAGUUCUAAGAAGAGACUGGAGGGGAGGGGGCAGACAAGCAUCGCUUCGUUCUUUGUUUUGUCAAGACAAGUCGAAGGGUUUGGAGGGCGCUUGUGGUUUGCCCCCAACCACAGCACCCGGCUUCCAACCCCAGUUGUGAUACUCUUCGUUUAAGCGGGAUCUGGAGCAGCCUUUCCCCAGGGUCCCCAGCAGACCUCAGCACUGGCCCUGGACUCCAGUGUAGCACCGUGGGCCUUUUCCUUCUCCUUUUCCACCCUCUUGCCAAGCCAACGCUGACUUUGAAUGCCCAACUCUUAAAUUCACGUUGCUCAGGCGGGAGGAAGGACUCCUAAACUUGAAGUCCACUUCGACAUCCCCUAUCCGAGCACGCUGCAAAACGGCGUCACCCAGGAAAGCGCCACGGCACUUCCUGGCGCCAGGGCUGAGCGUGGCACCUGCGCCGUGAGCCAUCGCCCCACCGAGCCUUGGGGUUGGGAUUACACCAGCGCCUUCCCCGCUCGCCAGCGCCGGAGCUGGUGACCUCUCCCUUGUGCAACAGUCCCUCACCGGAGCGUUACAACAGA